GCGGCUGUAGCUCAGUGGAUAGAGCACUUGCCUCCGGAGCAAGGGGUCGGGAGUUCGAGUCUCCCCAGCCGCG
rnacentral:tRNA from 1 species